GCGAGGGGACAGCGAGGGGGCUCACCCAGCUCUUUCCCGUUGCAGCUGCAGGCGGAGGAGCCGGAGCAGCGACGAGGAGGCCGCUCAGAUCGGCCCCAAAAGGAUCAGGAAGGCGGCGAAGCGCGAGAUCCUCCUCUGCGACUUCGAGGGCUGCGGCAAAAUCUUCUCCAACCGCCAGUACCUGAACCACCACCAGAAGUACCAGCACGUGCACCAGAAAACCUUCACCUGCUCCGAGCCCUCCUGUGGGAAGUCCUUCAACUUCAAGAAGCACCUCAAGGAGCACGAGAAGCUGCACAGCGACAAGCGGGAUUACAUCUGCGAGUUCUGCGCCCGCUCCUUCCGCACCAGCAGCAACCUCAUCAUCCACCGGCGCAUCCACACCGGGGAGAAGCCGCUCCAGUG